GGAUGAACGCUGGCGGCGUGCCUAAUACAUGCAAGUCGAGCGAACGGACGAGAAGCUUGCUUCUCUGAUGUUAGCGGCGGACGGGUGAGUAACACGUGGAUAACCUACCUAUAAGACUGGGAUAACUUCGGGAAACCGGAGCUAAUACCGGAUGAUAUUUUGAACCGCAUGGUUCAAAAGUGAAAGACGGUCUUGCUGUCACUUAUAGAUGGAUCCGCGCUGCAUUAGCUAGUUGGUAAGGUAACGGCUUACCAAGGCAACGAUGCAUAGCCGACCUGAGAGGGUGAUCGGCCACACUGGAACUGAGACACGGUCCAGACUCCUACGGGAGGCAUCAGUAGGGAAUCUUCCGCAAUGGGCGAAAGCCUGACGGAGCAACGCCGCGUGAGUGAUGAAGGUCUUCGGAUCGUAAAACUCUGUUAUUAGGGAAGAACAUAUGUGUAAGUAACUGUGCACAUCUUGACGGUACCUAAUCAGAAAGCCACGGCUAACUACGUG
rnacentral:rRNA from 1 species